GCGGACGUGGCGGAACUGGCAUACGCGCAAGAUUUAGGAUCUUGUGGGGCAACCCUUGGGGGUUCAACUCCCUCCGUCCGCACCA
rnacentral:tRNA from 1 species